GUUCUUAUAGUGGAAAAACAACAGCAGUUUUUCAGACUGUUGGUCCAGGUUUAAAUCCUGGUAAGAAUC
rnacentral:tRNA from 1 species